AUUGAACGCUGGCGGCAGGCCUAACACAUGCAAGUCGGGCGGAUGAAGGGAGCUUGCUCCUGGAUUCAGCGGCGGACGGGUGAGUAAUGCCUAGGAAUCUGCCUGGUAGUGGGGGAUAACGUCCGGAAACGGGCGCUAAUACCGCAUACGUCCUGAGGGAGAAAGUGGGGGAUCUUCGGACCUCACGCUAUCAGAUGAGCCUAGGUCGGAUUAGCUAGUUGGUGGGGUAAAGGCCUACCAAGGCGACGAUCCGUAACUGGUCUGAGAGGAUGAUCAGUCACACUGGAACUGAGACACGGUCCAGACUCCUACGGGAGGCAGCAGUGGGGAAUAUUGGACAAUGGGCGAAAGCCUGACCCAGCCAUGCCGCGUGUGUGAAGAAGGUCUUCGGAUUGUAAAGCACUUUAAGUUGGGAGGAAGGGCAGUAAGUUAAUACCUUGCUGUUUUGACGUUACCAACAGAAUAAGCACCGGCUAACUUCGUG
rnacentral:rRNA from 1 species